GAUGAACGCUGGCGGCGUGCCUAAUACAUGCAAGUCGAGCGAACAGACGAGGAGCUUGCUCCUCUGACGUUAGCGGCGGACGGGUGAGUAACACGUGGAUAACCUACCUAUAAGACUGGGAUAACUUCGGGAAACCGGAGCUAAUACCGGAUAAUAUAUUGAACCGCAUGGUUCAAUAGUGAAAGACGGUUUUGCUGUCACUUAUAGAUGGAUCCGCGCCGCAUUAGCUAGUUGGUAAGGUAACGGCUUACCAAGGCAACGAUGCGUAGCCGACCUGAGAGGGUGAUCGGCCACCCUGGAACUGAGCCACGGUCCAGACUCCUACGGGAGGCAGCAGUAGGGAAUCUUCCGCAAUGGGAGAAAGCCUGACGGAGCCACGCCGCGUGAGUGAUGAAGGUCUUCGGAUCGUAAAACUCUGUUAUUAGGGAAGAACAAAUGUGUAAGUAACUAUGCACGUCUUGACGGUACCUAAUCAGAAAGCCACGGCUAACUACGUG
rnacentral:rRNA from 1 species